GACGAACCGUGCGAACGUUGUUCGGAAUCACUGGGCUUAAAGGGCGCGUAGGCGGGCCACCGAGUCCGCGGUGAAAUCCCCCGGCUCAACCGGGGAACGGCCGUGGAUACUGGGGGCCUGGAGGCGGGUAGGGGCGGGCGGAACUCUGGGUGGAGCGGUGAAAUGCGUUGAUAUCCAGAGGAACUCCGGUGGCGAAGGCGGCCCGCUGGACCCGAUCUGACGCUGAGGCGCGAAAGCCAGGGGAGCGAACGGG
rnacentral:rRNA from 1 species